rnacentral:rRNA from 1 species
GGUGAACGCUGGCGGCGUGCCUAAUACAUGCAAGUCGAGCGAACAGACGAGGAGCUUGCUCCUCUGACGUUAGCGGCGGACGGGUGAGUAACACGUGGAUAACCUACCUAUAAGACUGGGAUAACUUCGGGAAACCGGAGCUAAUACCGGAUAAUAUAUUGAACCGCAUGGUUCAAUAGUGAAAGACGGUUUUGCUGUCACUUAUAGAUGGAUCCGCGCCGCAUUAGCUAGUUGGUAAGGUAACGGCUUACCAAGGCAACGAUGCGUAGCCGACCUGAGAGGGUGAUCGGCCACACUGGAACUGAGACACGGUCCAGACUCCUACGGGAGGCAGCAGUAGGGAAUCUUCCGCAAUGGGCGAAAGCCUGACGGGGCAACGCCGCGUGAGUGAUGAAGGUCUUCGGAUCGUAAAACUCUGUUAUUAGGGAAGAACAAAUGUGUAAGUAACUAUGCACGUCUUGACGGUACCUAAUCAGAAAGCCACGGCUAACUACGUG